GGGCGGUUAGCUCAGUUGGUUAGAGCGCUUGCUUCACACGCAAGAGGUCACUGGUUCAAGUCCAGUAUCGCCCACCA
rnacentral:tRNA from 1 species